UGCGGAGGAUCAUUAUUGAAAUAAACCUGAUGGGUGUUGCUGGCUCUCYMSGSAUGUGCACACUUGUCAUCUUUAUAUUUCCACCUGUGCACUUUUUGUAGACCUUCAAGGUCUAUGUUGCUUCAUUUACCCCAUGUUGUAUAGAAUGUUGACUAUAUAAUAUACAACUUUCAGCAACGGAUCUCUUGGCUCUCGCAUCGAUGAAGAACGCAGCGAAAUGCGAUAAGUAAUGUGAAUUGCAGAAUUCAGUGAAUCAUCGAAUCUUUGAACGCACCUUGCGCUCCUUGGUAUUCCGAGGAGCAUGCCUGUUUGAGUGUCAUUAAUCAACCCUUCCCUUGUAGGUKGAAUGKGGGGGUUKGCKGGUUUCUUCACUUCCCCYGAAAGGCUUUACCGGACCAAACCUGUUCUUUGGCGGGAUACCAAUCWUUGCGGUUAAAGGGGGGGGAAAGUCCACUUUCUAACGGAAUUCUCCUUUAAGGGGACCCCAAAUCAGGAAGAAUUACCCGCUAAAUUUAACCUAAUCAUAAACGAAGGAA
rnacentral:rRNA from 1 species